UUCCUUCCCAGGCGCCAACCUCAGUGCUUCUGGAUCCGGGAAAAACCGGCCCCUUUCCUCGCGCUCUCGCGCGUCUCGGCCACUUCCGGUAGCUAACGGUUCCAGAGCUCCCGGGCCGGCCUUUGCGGCCGGGUAAACGGCGCUGUGAGCUGGGCCCAGCGCCAGGGGCUGGAAAGCGCCGGGAGACGAGGGCUGGCGGGUUCAUCAAGCUCUCUCUCCAGAUCCUCCAGCACAGUCACUGCCUCCUCUCCAGUCUCUGGAUGGUGUGCCUGCACCCAUGCUUGCAGGUCCCUGGGGAGAAUGCUCAGGAAUUGUUCAAGCACCAGCAGGUCUAAAAUCUGCUCUUUUGUGUGGCAUUCUGGCCUCAGCCACUGGCGGCAAAGGUCCCAGAGCUGGGAGCCGGGAGAGACUCACCUCACGCCAGGAGGAACAGGUUUUCAAACACAAACCUCACUACAGGCCAUGAACUUCCUGAGUAGCUGAGUCUUCUUCAGAUACUCCUGACUUCAGUCACUCGUCAGCUUCAGAGAAUCAACUCACCAGUCCCUUGAAGCACUGGCUGGGGUUGAGUGGUUGAACACCAGACAAAAUGAGGCUUCCAACCAUUGUCACGGAUAUCCUGUUAAAAUUCUGUCUCUGCUGUUGGCUUAGGUAUGUCCUUCCUCUACUGGGAUAAAGCCUCUCUGACCUCUUUACCAAGACAUAAGCAGACAGUUUGUGUAUGACAAGGAGAGCUUUCCCUCUUCCCCUUCUAGUUAUAUCUCCCAGAAAGACUAAGAAACAAAACAAAGCAAAAUAAAA